rnacentral:rRNA from 1 species
UACGUAGGGUGCAAGCGUUGCCCGGAUUUAUUGGGCGUAAAGGGCGCGCAGGCGGCCGAGCACGUCCGUUGUGAAAUCGCCCGGCUCAACUGGGCGGGGUCAGCGGAUACGGCGCUGGCUGGAGCAGCUAGGGGGCAAUGGAAUUCCCGGUGUAGUGGUGGAAUGCGUAGAUAUCGGGAGGAACACCAGUGGCGAAGGCGGUUGCCUGGAGCUUUGCUGACGCUGAGGCGCGAAAGCGUGGGGAGCGAUCCGG